GAUGAACGCUGGCGGCGUGCCUAAUACAUGCAAGUCGAGCGAACGGACGAGAAGCUUGCUUCUCUGAUGUUAGCGGCGGACGGGUGAGUAACACGUGGAUAACCUACCUAUAAGACUGGGAUAACUUCGGGAAACCGGAGCUAAUACCGGAUAAUAUUUUGAACCGCAUGGUUCAAAAGUGAAAGACGGUCUUGCUGUCACUUAUAGAUGGAUCCGCGCUGCAUUAGCUAGUUGGUAAGGUAACGGCUUACCAAGGCAACGAUGCAUAGCCGACCUGAGAGGGGGAUCGGCCACACUGGAACUGAGACACGGUCCAGACUCCUACGGGAGGCAGCAGUAGGGAAUCUUCCGGAAUGGGCGAAAGCCUGACGGAGCAACGCCGCGUGAGUGAUGAAGGUCUUCGGAUCGUAAAACGCUGUUAUUAGGGAAGAACAUAUGUGUAAGUAACUGUGCACAUCUUGACGGUACCUAAUCAGAAAGCCACGGCUAACUACGU
rnacentral:rRNA from 1 species